CAAGCCAGGCAGAAGCAGCAGUUUGCUGCCAGCAGCCAAGGCAUUAUCAUUUGCUGGCUGAGCUACUGCUCCUGGAACAUCUUAGAGUUUUAGGAUCAGCUGUGCAUGACAUCCUUAAAAUUCCAGAGGGAUUUUGGCACAUAUGCAAGAUGAAUAGAUUUGUUUAGGAAAAGUGAUUUGGGUCACCUUUUUAAGAAUUUCAAGCACCCAAAGACUACUUCUGAGAAACAAGUUUUCCAGUGAAUAAAACAGAAUUGGGGAGAUAAGGAAAGAGAAGAGUCCAAUCAGAAGACCCUACCUAGACUCUACUUUUUCUUUUUGGAAAUGUAUAUGGCUUUAAUUUAUUAUACUGUUGAUUCUUUUAAACAACACAUUGCUUACUAUAUGGGUUGUGCUGAUGAUAUAUUUCUGUUCUGGACAGGCUUGUUAUGAAUUACUAGUAUUUAGUACUUUCAUAAAGGAGAUUGAUGCUAAUUUAAAAAUCAUCACAAGUUGGUCUUUUUUAAAAAAAAGCUAUUACUCUAUAAUUUGUGGAAAACCACCAGACAAAUAUAAAUGUAACUUCUGGUUAUCAGACGUAAAAGAUACCACAUUCAUUUAGCAAUGAGGUCAUUCUGAGGGGGUAAAAAGAGUUUGUUUAGAACCCUAAGAUUAUAGACGUGCUGAUUCACUCUGUAAUAGAUUUUUACAAAGAGGCUAUCAAUUCUCCUGACUCAAUCAAGCAUAUCAGUUGGCUGAGUUGGCAGAUAGGGACAAUUUAUUACUCACAAGGGAAAAAUUGACCAAGAUAGACUACUUAGUAUUGCAAACUACUUUUUUUUCCUAGUUACCUCUUUCUUAAACAUGAUUAAAUAAAAUUGUUAUAACUUGGAGAUUGCUACUGUAUUUCUAAAUGGAAGUAUUUUUCCAAAAUGCUAUUUUCUUCUAAAGGAGAAGGUAAGUAUUUAAGAGAAUUUUGGUUGGUACACUUACCAGUUAUACAAAUAUCUUUUCGAUGUUAUGUUCAGCCAUUUCUGACAACUAUUACAUCUACUAAAUUAAUUUAAUGUUACAUGUACAUAAACACAAUAGGCCAAGUACAAUGCUAAUACCAUGGCAGUGGAUACAAAUCCACUAACUUUUAGUAAAGUUGUGCUACUUAACUAAUACUGAAUAUUGAUUAUGCCAUUUCUUUGUGCAAAGUAAAGCUUGUUCAUACUUGUAACAGUUAUACUGUUCUGGGCAAGGUAAUAAAACGUC